rnacentral:rRNA from 1 species
AAAUAGAUACCCGGGUAGUCCACGCCGUAAACGACUGAGUGCUAAGUGUUAGAGGGUUUCCGCCCUUUAGGUGCUGCAGCUAACGCAUUAAGCACUCCGCCUGGGGAGUACGGUCGCAAGACUGAAACUCAAAGGAAUUGACGGGGGCCCGCACAAGCGGUGGAGCAUGUGGUUUAAUUCGAAGCAACGCGAAGAACCUUACCAGGUCUUGACAUCCUCUGACAACUCUAGAGAUAGAGCGUUCCCCUUCGGGGGACAGAGUGACAGGUGGUGCAUGGUUGUCGUCAGCUCGUGUCGUGAGAUGUUGGGUUAAGUCCCGCAACGAGCGCAACCCUUGAUCUUAGUUGCCAGCAUUUAGUUGGGCACUCUAAGGUGACUGCCGGUGACAAACCGGAGGAAGGUGGGGAUGACGUCAAAUCAUCAUGCCCCUUAUGACCUGGGCUACACACGUGCUACAAUGGAUGGUACAAAGGGCUGCAAGACCGCGAGGUCAAGCCAAUCCCAUAGAACCAUUCUCAGUUCGGAUUGUAGG